CCUACGGGGGGCAGCAGUGGGGAAUAUUGGGCAAUGGGCGAAAGCCUGACCCAGCAACGCCGCGUGAAGGAAGAAGGCUUUCGGGUUGUAAACUUCUUUUGACAGGGGAGGGCAGAAGACGGUACCUGUCGAGUAAGCCACGGCUAACUACGUGCCAGCAGCCGCGGUAAUAGGGAGGUGGCAGGCGUUGUCCGGAUUUACUGGGGUGAAGGGGCGGGUGGCCGGGCUGACAAGUCAGAUGUGAAAUCCGGGGGCUCAACCCCCGAACUGCAUUUGAAACUGCUGGUCUUGAGUAUCGGAGAGGCAGGCGGAAUUCCUAGUGUAGCGGUGAAAUGCGUAGAUAUUAGGAGGAACACCAGUGGCGAAGGCGGCCUGCUGGACGACAACUGACGGUGAGGCGCGAAAGCGUGGGGAGCAAACAGGAUUAGAUACCCCAGUAGUC
rnacentral:rRNA from 1 species